rnacentral:rRNA from 1 species
GCGCGGUGGUCCCACCUGACCCCAUGCCGAACUCAGAAGUGAAACGCCGUAGCGCCGAUGGUAGUGUGGGGUCUCCCCAUGUGAGAGUAGGGA